GCUUAACCGACUGAGCCACCCGGGCAUCCUGAACUGUGGUUUCCCGCACGCGAAGACAUGCACAGUUCUAGUUUCUUCAUUCACUGAGGCCUGGAGAAGAGUAGACGGUCCAGGGCGGACUGGUAAACUAGCGCUGAGACCAGGGACAGGAAGUGAGCUACCCUGACAACACCUACUACGCGCUGGGUCUUGCGUUGGGCAUUAUCUUAUUUACUCCGAAAAGCGAUUGGGCGGCCUCACUAAUUCCCAUUGUAUGGUUGGGGAAAACUCAGAAAGUCACACUCAGGAAGUGACAGAGACGUGGCUUGAGCUGAGUCUGUGUGAUUUCACUGGCCCGUCAACUUUCAUCUUAAUCACAGAAUGUUCACUGUUCAACGGCCAAGAGGAAUAUUCGAGACUGACCACCUGUUCGAAGUGUGUGUGUGUGUGUGUUUAUUGUUCCAAUAGUGAUACAAGGCAAUUGGUUAGAAUUUAGCAUCCUAGCAAAAUGGACCUCUUUUGUAUUCUUACCUCUCUGUAUUCCUCAUAGGAUAGAAAAUUCUAGAGCUGCAAUGUCCAAUACAGUAGGCAGUAGCUACUGGGCUACGAGGCUAGUGGGCCCUCGAAACGUGGCUCAUUGAGAUGUGUUACAAGUAUAAAACACACACCAGAUUUCAAAGAUUUGGUAUGGAAAAAAAAAGAAUAUAAAAUACCUCACUGAUGAUUUCUAUAUGGAUCAUACUGAAAUGAUUGCAUUUUAGAUAUAUUGAGGGUAGAGAGCAAUUGAUGUUCUCUCUUUUUACUUUUUUAAAUAUGGCUCCUAGGAAAAUCUAAGCGGCCUCUGCGGUUCACAUUAUAUUUACAUCGGAGAGCACCAGUGUCUAGAGGAGUGUAUUUGCGAAUUCUGGAUAAAAGGUCAAAGCUGUUCUCCAAUUCCACGGUCAAAUUAGCCCUCGCUUGGGACUCCACAAUAGGGACUGCAGGUGAGGUGAAUGAGCUCUCAGACACAGAUGCUUCAGGAACACGCCCUGAGGAACAGAGACAGGAACGGGAACAGGGCGCCGAGGCUGCUGUGGGUCCUGAGCGAGCAGUUUUAAGGAGCCCCCCCCCCCGCCCCCGACUCCCCGCGAAGCACAGCGCCCACCAGUGAGCCAGCCUGGUCCCGCUUUGACCUCCGGGAUCCGGGGCUUCUGAGGACAGAUCUAGAGCUCGUGAACUGGGAUACGAGGCCAUGCCUGGGUUCAGAAUUCUCCGGGAAGCCACAGGACUUCACCCUCGAUGCAGGAAAGAAAACAGGCGUUUUUAAUGAUCUGGAAGCCAGGUGUCCACCAGGCAGCUGGCUGAUGGAGGCUGUGUCACAGAAAGUCCGAGAUUCUGUGUCUUCUUCUAUGGGACAUGGAAAACAACCAAGACCCUUAGCUGUAGAGAACAAACUGAUGAUCACCAGAGAGGAGGGGGGUGGGAGAUGGGUUAAAAUAGGUGAUGGGGAUUAAGGAGUGCACCUGUCGUGGUGAGCUCCGGACGAAAUGCUCGAUCACUAUUCUGUGCACCUGAAACUAAUAUAACCCUGGAUGUUAACUCUACUGGAAUUUAAAAUAAAAUUUAAGAAAAAUACGCGCCUUAAAGAAAGAUGUUGCUGAAGGAGAGUUCAAAAAAAAAAAAUAAAGGUUUACAUAAACUGCUUACUUUUGCAAAACUGGCCCUUGCUGAUUUAACUGGUGGCUCACUCGUUCGUUCAUUUACUGACCGCUGUGGUGGGCCAGGCACCCUGCUCUGUGUCAGAAACACAAAGUUUAAUAAGACGUGGUCCCUGCCUUCAAGGUGCUCAUAACCCGCUAGGAAAAGCAGUUGCAGAGAUGAUCGGGUAACUGUGGUAUGUAGCUGUACUUGAGGCUGAGUGAUGGGCUCCACCCAGCGUGGGGCAAGGCUUCGGAGAGAGGACAAACCGUGUCUUUAACGUGGGUUUAAAAAUAAGUGUCUUAUAAGAGCCAGUGCCUUGUCUCCCUCCUCCUCUGUCUAACAUUUGUCCACGGUGGCUCUAAGGAAUUUGGCCACGUUAUCCGGCUACCAGUAAACAACUACGCCAGCCCUUCUAUGAGCUGAUCUGCUUAGUAUUCUAUUUUGUGCAAUCAGAGAUUAAAUUCCAAAUUCACUGGCACUGAAGAUGAAACAGCUAAUUACAUACAGUAAUUGCAUUUAAAAUCCAUGCCUUUGAGUGACUGAUGAAAUCUGCUUUUUAAAUGCUCCUGAAACUCAAUGUACCCAGCAACUGACUGUGGUUAAGGGGCAGUGUAUUUUUAGUCCUGGAGUGUGGGCACGGCUUCAGCCUCUUUCACCCAUGUCCUUUCCUUGAAUUCAGUCUGUGCACUUAAAAGAAUACUUUUGUCCAAAAGGAAGAAGUAAAAUUGGCUGUUUGCAGGUGGCAUGAUAUUACACAUAGAAGACCCUAAAGACUCCACCAAAAAAAAAAAACAAAACCACCCC